rnacentral:rRNA from 1 species
UCGGACGAACGCUGGCGGCGUGCUUCAUACAUGCAAGUCGAACGAGAAGCUGACUUCGGUCAGUGGAAAGUGGCGGACGGGUGAGUAACACGUAGGAAAUCUGCCCUUUGGAGGGGGACAACAGUUGGAAACGACUGCUAAUACCCCAUAUGAGCUAAGCUGAAAUGCUUAUCUUGAAAACUCCGGUGCCAAAGGAUGAGCCUGCGCCUGAUUAGCUAGUUGGUGGUGUAAUGGACUACCAAGGCGACGAUCAGUAGCUGGUUUGAGAGGAUGAUCAGCCACAAUGGGACUGAGACACGGCCCAUACUCCUACGGGAGGCAGCAGUAGGGAAUUUUGCGCAAGUGGGGGAAACCCUAGACGCAGCAACGCCGCGUGAUUGAUGAACGCCCGUUCGGGGUAGUAAAGAUCUGUCAGGUAGGGACGAAUUUUGACGGUACCUACAGAGGAAGCACCGGCUAACUCCGUGCCAGCCGCCGC